rnacentral:rRNA from 1 species
CAGUAGCCACGGGAAUACGUAGGUGGCAAGCGUUGUCCGGAAUUAUUGGGCGUAAAGGGCUCGCAGGCGGUUUCUUAAGUCUGAUGUGAAAGCCCCCGGCUCAACCGGGGAGGGUCAUUGGAAACUGGGAAACUUGAGUGCAGAAGAGGAGAGUGGAAUUCCACGUGUAGCGGUGAAAUGCGUAGAGAUGUGGAGGAACACCAGUGGCGAGGGCGACUCUCUGGCCUGUAACUGACGCUGAGGAGCGAAAGCGUGGGGAGCGAACAGGAUUAGAUACCCCCGUAGUCCCUGUCUCUUAUAC